rnacentral:rRNA from 1 species
CCGUGAGGGAAAGGUGCAAAGAACCCCAGGGUGGGUAGUGAAAUAGAACCUGCAACUAUGCGCUUACAAGCUGUGGAAGCCCAUUUCUUGUGUGACCGCGUACUUUUGGUAGAACGGGCCAACGAGUUACGUUCCGUAGCACGGUUAAGCGCUUAAGGUGUUGCGCCGUUGAGACAUCUAGUUCUAACUGAGCGCUCAGUUACUUGACGUAG